rnacentral:snRNA from 1 species
GCAUGAGCACUCUCUCAGUCUCUCUCUCUCAUUGAUCACCAGGUUGAUUCAGCUGAUCUGGCUGGUGAGGCGGGUGCCCCCUUCCUCCCUCACCAUUCCAUGUGUGUCUCUCCUGAAACUGUAUGCUCCCAUGAAGAAGAAGACCUUCCCCGAUAGAGGAGGACCAUUCUUCAGUCAAAGGUAUACAAGUAGCUGCGCUCCCCUGCUAGAACCUCCAAACAAGCUCUCAAAUAUAAAUAAAUAAAUAAAUAAUAAACAAACAAACAAAUAAAAAGGAGUCAUUCUUAACUGUAAGCAUUCACCAAGGCCCUGAGGCUCUUU